UACGAAGGGGGCUAGCGUUGUUCGGAAUUACUGGGCGUAAAGCGCACGUAGGCGGGCUUGUAAGUUAGAGGUGAAAUCCCGGGGCUCAACCUCGGAACUGCCUUUGAUACUGCAAGUCUAGAGUCCGGAAGAGGUGAGUGGAAUUCCUAGUGUAGAGGUGAAAUUCGUAGAUAUUAGGAAGAACACCAGUGGCGAAGGCGGCUCACUGGUCCGGUACUGACGCUGAGGUGCGAAAGCGUGGGGAGCAAACAGG
rnacentral:rRNA from 1 species